GACAGAGGUGCCGAGCGUUAGGCGGAAUCACUGGGCUUAAAGCGUGUGUAGGCGGCGGCGUAAGUACCUUGUGAAAUCCCACGGCUCACCCGUGGAACUGCUGGGUAUACUGGUCGUCUUGAGCCUUCUAGGGGCUACCGGAACAAAUGGUGGAGCGGUGAAAUGCGUAGAUAUCAUUUGGAACGCCAAUGGUGAAAACAGGUAGCUGGGGAAGUGCUGACGCUGAGACACGAAAGCCAGGGGAGCGAACGGG
rnacentral:rRNA from 1 species